GGUUUUUUGAAAUUUAAUAAAAAAUCAGGCCUGCCCACUGAUAAAGGGCUGCAGUAUUUUGACUGUACAAAGGUAGCAUAAUCAUUAGUUUAUUAAUUGUAGACUGGUAUGAAAGGUUAGACGGAGAUAAGCUGUCUCGGAUAUAAUAGUGAAUUUUAUUUUUAAGGGAAAGGGCUUAAAUGAAUCAAAGGGACGAGAAGACCCUAUUAAAUUUAAUAUUAAUUUUUAUUUUUGAUUGAAUAAAAAAAAUAUAAAUUUAUUAGUUUUACUGGGGCGGUAUGUAAUUAACAUUAUUAUUUUUUAAUAUAAUAAAUAACGAUAAUUUGAUCCAGAGGGAUUGAUAUUAGAUAAAAUUACUGUAGGGAUAACAGCGUGAUAUUUUUUGAGAGUUCUUAUUGACAAAAAUGUUUGCGACCUCGAUGUUGGAUUAAGGAGUCUUAUUGGUGUAGUAGUUUUUAAAGAAGGUCUGUUCGACCUUUAAAUUCUU
rnacentral:rRNA from 1 species